rnacentral:rRNA from 1 species
UACGUAGGUGGCAAGCGUUGUCCGGAUUUACUGGGCGUAAAGGAUGCGUAGGUGGAUAUUUAAGUCAGAUGUGAAAUACCCGGGCUUAACUUGGGUGCUGCAUUUGAAACUGGAUAUCUAGAGUGCAGGAGAGGUAAGUGGAAUUCCUAGUGUAGCGGUGAAAUGCGUAGAGAUUAGGAAGAACACCAGUGGCGAAGGCGACUUACUGGACUGUAACUGACACUGAGGCAUGAAAGCGUGGGGAG